rnacentral:rRNA from 1 species
AGGACGAACGCUGGCGGCACGCUUAACACAUGCAAGUCGAACGAGGUCCAUCCACUCGCAAGAGUGGUGAAGACCUAGUGGCGAACGGGUGAGUAACACGUGAGAAACCUGCCCCGAAGACCGGGAUAACUCACCGAAAGGUGAGCUAAUACCGGAUACCCUCACGACGCUUACAUGGCGAUGUGAGGAAAUGGAUUCCGCGUUCGGGAGGGUCUCGGCGGCCUAUCAGCUUGGUUGGUGAGGUAACGGCUCGACCAAGGCGACGUACGGGUAGC